rnacentral:lncRNA from 1 species
GCCUCCGCUCCGCCUACUCCUCCCAUUCAGUCCGGCGCAUCUCAGUCUCCGCCUCCAUUCGCGCUAUUCCAGUGGUUGUUUAUGUCUAAGAUUAAGCUUGUCCCCGAGGUGUCGAACUCUGCCGAUAGUUCAUAAAUGCGCUAAAAUCCAAUCCGCCAUUAUUAUAUUUCUACCUGCACAUGCUGCACUAGUAAUUAAUUUUUAUGAUUUCAAAUUGUGCAAAUUGUAAUAAUGUUUGUAUUGUUUUCUUCUUUUUAACAAGUGAAAUUAGCACUUUCCUCUAGAAGCGGCACUGGCACUGCAACACAUUGCUUUUCAAUUGAUUUUGCCACCAAACAGACGACUUCCAGUUAAUUGCUGCCUCAGGCCCUCUGUGACUGUGAGUUUCUUAUUCUGUCACUGGAAUUUGGAAAUAGUAUAUAUUGCCCUGUGAAAUUGUGAAUUGAUUAUACUAUUGGCCUUUUAGAUGUGAAUUGCUUAUAGUAUUGCUAUGUGUGAAGAGAGUUGUCCUGUGAAUUGCUUUUCUUUUGCUUCC